GGCGCACACACAAACCAUACAAACACAAGAACACACACACACACACACACUUCAUUUCUGGUAGCCAUGGAGGUGAGAAUCCCAUGGUAAGAGUGUUGGCAGAUCUGUUUUGUAAGGACAUGGAUCUCUCUAAUGAGAACCCUCAUCACAAUACUCUCUCAUCCCAUUCCUCACAGGGGUAUCUCAACACAGAGCUUUUCAGGGGACACAAACAUGAAGCCUAUAACACUUUACCUCCUCUCUGCCUUCUUCCAUCUGCCCAUCCAUUUACUCAGCUGAGAGCUGAUGACUUUGAUACAGCAUCUGUACUAAGGCAUCUUCUGGCCCUGUGUACCUUGCCAGCUCUACAAGUGCCAGCCAUGCUUCUGAAAUGGAGAUGUGCCCCUAUAAUCCAAGCACUUGACAAAUAGAAGCAAAGUUCAAGGCCAGUUUGGUCUACGCAGCAAGUUUGAAGUCAGCCAGUGCUGGAUGGAGAGACCCUGUCUCAGCAAACAAAAUAAAGCAAACACAAGUCCUUUGAAUCAUAAGUAGAAAUGAAACUCAUUGGGAAAUCCUGACUUACUAUAAAGCCUAUGUAGGAGUG